UACGAAGGGGGCUAGCGUUGCUCGGAUUGACUGGGCGUAAAGGGCGCGUAGGCGGUUCGUACAGUCAGACGUGAAAUUCCUGGGCUCAACCUGGGGGCUGCGUUUGAUACGUGCGGACUUGAGUGCGGAAGAGGGUCGUGGAAUUCCCAGUGUAGAGGUGAAAUGCGUAGAGAUCGGCAGGAACACCCAGGGGGAAACCAGCCGACUGGGCAUCUGCUGACGCUGAGGUGCGAGAGCGUGGGGAGCGAACCGG
rnacentral:rRNA from 1 species